rnacentral:lncRNA from 1 species
CACCAAUAGAAGGGCAGGCAAGCGUCACCUGAAGAGAUGCAUGCAUCCGAAGAGUGCAGAGUGAUGCUGCAGAGAAAACAAGGCUGCCAUUGCUGGCUGAUGUCAAGAGAAGAAAAAUAAACCUGAGGGUGGAGACACAGACUGGGAGAGCCAGGAUUCAGUCCCAAGCAGCAUGGCUUUAGAAACCAUGCUUCUGGAUUUCCCUGGUGGGCUAGUGAUUGAGGCUCCGUGAUCCCAAUGUGGGGAGCCCAGGUUCAAUCCCUGGUCAGGGGCUUAGAUCCCACACGCCUCAACUAAGCGCUCACACGUGACGACUAAAGAUCCCUCCUGGCAAAACUAAGGCCUGGUGCAGC